rnacentral:sRNA from 1 species
AUAUAGCCCCGAUAGAAGUGAAAAUCCUUUUGUGCCGGGGUUCGGCAUAAAAGAUUGAAACGGAUAGCGGGACCAGAG